GGCAUUUUACUUGGCGUAAAUACAGGGACUAUGGAUGUGUUGGCUAGUUCGGAUGGUGAGUUUCACGUUAAACUCCAUAUUCGCAACAAGCCCGACAACUUCACAUGGACCCUUGUCGCCGUGUAUGGGGCAGCCCAGGAUGAGUUCAAGGCCGAUUUUCUCCGUGAAUUGGUUAAUAUGGCAAAAGAUAAUCCCUAUCCCAUUCUUAUAGGUGGGGGUUUCAAUUUGCUUCGAUUUCCAAAUGAGAAAAGUCGCGGUAGGUUUGAUAAUCAUUGGCCUUUCCUUUUCAAUGCUGUCAUCGACAGUCUAGAUCUGCGAGAGUUUUCCAUGAUUGGAAGACAAUUCACUUGGGCGAACAGUCUUCCCGAGCCGACAUAUGAGAAACUAGAUCACAUUUUAAUGGAUACUGACUGGGAAUCUAAAUUUCCUAUGGUUUUUGUUCAUGCUCUACCUUGUAUCGAGGUUAUAUCAUACCACACACCCAUUCGCCUAACUACUGGGUUGCCACGACCACAACAUAGACACAAGUUCAAGUUUGAACUUCGGUGGUUGCUUCGGGAUGGCUUCCAUGACAUGGUCAAGGAGGCGUGGGAGAAACCAAUGGUCGGGCCUACCCCAAUACAUAGAUGGAAUAACAAAAUGCGUUCAUUACGUAAAUUCCUUGGUGGUUGGGCUAGGCAUACGGUGGGUAUCCUCAAAAAGGAAAAGCUUCAUCUUUCAUCUAUCAUUGAUGAAUUAGAAGCUUUGCCAGAGGUUAGACCUUUAUCUGAGCAUGUAAUCGAGAUCAAGAAUCAUUCGAAUGCACAGAUAGCUAACAUGUUGCGUGAAGAGGAACUCAAAUGGUACCAACAUUCUAACUCUCAAUUUAUCCUGAAAGGUGAUUCGAAUAGUAGAUAUUUCCAUGGAGUCGCCAAUGGCAGACACCGGAAGAAAAUUAUUCAUUCCCUACAACAGGAUGAGGGCGCGAUUGAGGGGCAUGAGCAACUUAAAUCUUAUAUCACUAAUUAUUAUAAAAAUAUGUUCAGAGUGCUGGAGGAAGGAAACUUCAUGAUGGAUGAGUCAUGA
rnacentral:rRNA from 1 species